GCGUCGGUAGCGAAGUAGUCAAACGCAUUGGUCUGUAAAACCAACGGCUUUAUGCCUUCGUAGGUGCAAAUCCUACCCGGCGCA
rnacentral:tRNA from 1 species